rnacentral:rRNA from 1 species
GACGAACGCUGGCGGCGUGCUUAACACAUGCAAGUCGAGCGGUAAGGCCCUUUCGGGGGUACACGAGCGGCGAACGGGUGAGUAACACGUGGGUGACCUGCCCUCAGCUCUGGGAUAAGCCCGGGAAACUGGGUCUAAUACCGGAUAUGACUCCAUGACGCAUGUUGUGGGGUGGGAAAGCCUUGUGCGGCUGAGGAUGGGCCCGCGGCCUAUCAGCUUGUUGGUGGGGUGAUGGCCACCAAGGCGACGACGGGUAGCCGGCCUGAGAGGGCGACCGGCCACACUGGGACUGAGAUACGGCCCAGACUCCUACGGGAGGCAGCAGUGGGGAAUCUUGCGCAAUGGGCGAAAGCCUGACGCAGCGACGCCGCGUGAGGGAUGACGGCCUUCGGUU